CCUACGGGAGGCAGCAGUGAGGAAUCUUUGUCAAUGGCCGGAAGGCUGAACCAGCCAUGCCGCGUGAAGGUCAGUGCCCUAUGGGCGUUAAACUUCUUUUGUGCGGGAGCCAUAAUGGUCACGUGUGGCCAGACGAGAGUACCGUACGAAUAAGCAUCGGCUAACUCCGUGCCAGCAGCCGCGGUCAUACGGGGGAUGCAAGCGUUAUCCGGAUUUAUUGGGUUUAAAGGGUGCGUAGUCUGUGAGGUAAGUCAGCGGUGAAAUGCCCCCGCUCAACGGGGUGAAGUGCCAUUGAUACUGCGUUGCUGGAGUGCUGAUGCCGGGGGAGGAAUGUGUGGUGUAGCGGUGAAAUGCAUAGAUAUCA
rnacentral:rRNA from 1 species